rnacentral:rRNA from 1 species
GAUGAACGCUGACAGAAUGCUUAACACAUGCAAGUCUUUGGCGAAGCUGUGCUUGCACAGCCUAGCCAAGGCGGACGGGUGAGUAACGCGUAAGGAACUUGCCCUGCAGUCAGGGAUAACAGACGGAAACGACUGAUAAGACCUGGUAAAGUCAGGCGGACUCAUGUCCAGCCUGAUGAAAAGAGAUGCUGCAGGAGAGCCUUGCGUCCUAUUAGCUUGUUGGUGGGGUAACGGCCCACCAAGGCGAUGAUAGGUAGCCGGCCUGAGAGGGUGGACGGCCACAAGGGGACUGAGAUACGGCCCUUACUCCUACGGGAGGCAGCAGUGGGGGAUAUUGGACAAUGGGGGCAACCCUGAUCCAGCAAUUCUGUGUGCACGAUGAAGGUUUUCGGAUUGUAAAGUGCUUUCAGCAGGGAAGAAAAAAAUGACGGUACCUGCAGAAGAAGCGACGGCUAAAUACGUG